UCCUUGUUAGCUCAGUUGGUAGAGCGUUCGGCUUUUAAGCAUUCAAGGCAACCGAAAUGUCAGGGGUUCGAGCCCCCUAUGAGGAG
rnacentral:tRNA from 1 species